rnacentral:rRNA from 1 species
GACGGAGGGCGCAAGCGUUGUUCGGAAUUACUGGGCGUAAAGCGCGCGCAGGCGGGAAGGUAAGUCUGGAGUGAAAUUCCGGGGCUCAACUCCGGAGCUGCUUUGGAUACUGUCUUUCUAGGGACCGGUAGAGGCAGGCGGAAUUCCGGGUGUAGCGGUGGAAUGCGUAGAGAUCCGGAAGAACACCGGUGGCGAAGGCGGCCUGCUGGGCAGUUGCUGACACUGAGGCGCGACAGCGUGGGGAGCAAACAGG